rnacentral:rRNA from 1 species
GUGUCAGCAGCCGCGGUAAUACGGAGGAUCCAAGCGUUAUCCGGAAUCAUUGGGUUUAAAGGGUCCGUAGGCGGUUUUGUAAGUCAGUGGUGAAAUCCGGCAGCUUAACUGUCGAACUGCCAUUGAUACUGCAGGACUUGAAUUACUGUGAAGUAACUAGAAUAUGUAGUGUAGCGGUGAAAUGCUUAGAUAUUACAUGGAAUACCAAUUGCGAAGGCAGGUUACUAACAUUAUAUUGACGCUGAUGGACGAAAGCGUGGGUAGCGAACAGGAUUAGAUACCCUGGUAGUCC